rnacentral:rRNA from 1 species
AGCAGUCGCCGCGGUAAUACAGAGGGUGCGAGCGUUAAUCGGAUUUACUGGGCGUAAAGCGUGCGUAGGCGGCUUUUUAAGUCGGAUGUGAAAUCCCUGAGCUUAACUUAGGAAUUGCAUUCGAUACUGGGAAGCUAGAGUAUGGGAGAGGAUGGUAAAAUUCCAGGUGUAGCGGUGAAAUGCGUAGAGAUCUGGAGGAAUACCGAUGGCGAAGGCAGCCAUCUGGCCUAAUACUGACGCUGAGGUACGAAAGCAUGGGGAGCAAACAGGAUUAGAUACCCCAGUAGUCCCUGUCUCUUAUAC